UACAGAGGGUGCAAGCGUUAAUCGGAAUUAUUGGGCGUAAAGGGCGCGUAGGUGGAUGAUUAAGUCGGAUGUGAAAUCCCUGGGCUUAACCUAGGAAUUGCAUUCGAUACUGGUUGUCUAGAGAGAAGCAGAGGGUGGCGGAAUUUCCGGUGUAGCGGUGAAAUGCGUAGAUAUCGGAAGGAACACCAGUGGCGAAGGCGGCCACCUGGGCUUUUACUGACACUGAGGCGCGAAAGCGUGGGGAGCAAACAGG
rnacentral:rRNA from 1 species